UCCUCUCUCUACUCCUUGGGUAUCUUUUCGUAUUCUUGAGUGGAAGAUCCAUUGAAAAUAAUUUCUCUCCUCUCUCUACUCCUUGGGUAGGUUAACGUCUGGGUAGACACACUACCCUCCCAGACCAGACUUGUGGGAUUGUUGUUGUUGUUGUUGUUGUUGAACCCCAAUAACUUAAAAGGAUUAGAAUUCCGAACCCAUAAGCUCUACCUUUGUGCAUCAUUACUUUGCACUUUUGCAAGAGGCUAGGCUGUUUUCAGGAUAGCAUUUAAUAAUAUUUUUCUCUUGAAUAAAAGAUGGAAUUGGAUUCUGACUGAAGUUAUAUUACUUGGGGUUUCUUAAUUUAGUAAGAGCUGAAAAUCUGACUGCUUGUUUUGGGAGCACUGAGCUUAUGAAUAGAAUGUGCAUCAAUAGGGGCACGUUCCUCCUUUUGCGAAAUUUUGAGAAAGGAGGAGGAAAAUUGGCCAGUUGCUAUUACAGUAGUUAAAUAGGUUGAGUACCAUUAAGUGACAAGUUUGUACAUCUGCAACAGCGCAGAAUUUUGUUUACAGAAGCAUACUAUUGAGAGGGUACAUCUUUUAAUUAGAAUUGGCUAAACCAACUUUGUUUUCCAUAAGCUUCUCUAAACAAAGCCAAUCAUUCGGUGCUUCUACCUUCACAGGAGCAUCUUCUUUGUUGAUGGCAGUGGUUCUUUAUUUGAUGUUAUUUAAUUCUGUGUUGUAAGUUGUAACCUUCACAAAUCUGUGAUUGACUUUAUUGACGUCUAUGUUGUUUGUGUUAUCUUCCUUUGUCAUUAUUGUACUUUUUGGUUUGUGAUCUGCAGUUUUUUGAUGGAUAUAUGGAUAUCAUGGAAGAUCAUUCGAACAGACGUACCGGUGUUAUCCUGCAUCAUUCAUUGAUAAGGUUGGAAGGUUUUUUAAUUCCUUUACUGCUCUAAUCUACCGUGGUAAUUGUUUGUGAAGAUUUCACAAAAUCCUUCUUGUUCCUUUGACUUCGAUCAGAUUGUCAUUCUCACAAAAGUCUCGUUACAUCUUAUUUCCCAAGGUUGCGUCAUGUACAUUUUCUUUUUUGUUAAAGAGAAGGAGGUAAGGUGGAGGAGGGCAUGGAUUUUUUUGUGAUAAGGGAAAGGAGGGGGUUGUUGGGUUACCUAUAAUCAAUUGGGCGUUGGUAGACACGAAUUUGAGAGAAAAACAACCUC
rnacentral:lncRNA from 1 species